CGAAUUGCAAUCAUCAUAUGGGCGGGGGUGAAUCCUUUGCAGACGACUUGAAUGGGAACGGGGUACUGUAAGCGGUAGAGUAGCCUUGUUGCUACGAUCCGCUGAGGUUAAGCCCUUGUUCUAAAGAUUUGUUCAACUAUGUUGAACGCUUCUCUUCUUUUUUCUUUCUCUUCUUUCCAUGCAUUAACUUGAGGGCCGGUCAAAUUGACUGGGCUACCAGUGAAGGCAUGAUUAGAAGAGAGAGCAGGCAAUAGUCAGUGACAACUACUGAUGCUUGCUCUACUUGCUCUACAGUUAGAAUUAGGGAGAAAGAAUGAAGAAGUGGUAGUAGGGAAUAGGGCUGAGUAGCUAAAUCUUGUUAGGCACUUGAGGGCAAGCUAGUAGUGUCG
rnacentral:rRNA from 1 species